rnacentral:rRNA from 1 species
UACGGAGGGGGCUAGCGUUGUUCGGAAUUACUGGGCGUAAAGCGCACGUAGGCGGCUUUGUAAGUUAGAGGUGAAAGCCCGGGGCUCAUCUCCGGAAUUGCCUUUAAGACUGCAUCGCUAGAAUUGUGGAGAGGUAAGUGGAAUUCCGAGUGUAGAGGUGAAAUUCGUAGAUAUUCGGAAGAACACCAGUGGCGAAGGCGACUUACUGGACACAUAUUGACGCUGAGGUGCGAAAGCGUGGGGAGCAAACAGG